rnacentral:rRNA from 1 species
UACGGAGGCCUCAAGCGUUAGGCGGAAUCACUGGGCUUAAAGCGCGUGUAGGUGGACUUUUAAGUGCUUUGUGAAAUCCCACGGCUCAACCGUGGAACUGCUGGGCAUACUGGAAGUCUUGGGCUAUCUAGGGGCAACCGGAACAAGCGGUGGAGCGGUGAAAUGCGUAGAUAUCGCUUGGAACGCCAAAGGUGAAGACAGGUUGCUGGAGAUAUGCCGACACUGAGACGCGAAAGCCAGGGGAGCAAACGGG